rnacentral:rRNA from 1 species
CAUAGCCGCGGUAAUACAGAGGGUGCGAGCGUUAAUCGGAUUUACUGGGCGUAAAGCGUGCGUAGGCGGCUUCUUAAGUCGGAUGUGAAAUCCCUGAGCUUAACUUAGGAAUUGCAUUCGAUACUGGGAAGCUAGAGUAUGGGAGAGGAUGGUAGAAUUCCAGGUGUAGCGGUGAAAUGCGUAGAGAUCUGGAGGAAUACCGAUGGCGAAGGCAGCCAUCUGGCCUAAUACUGACGCUGAGGUACGAAAGCAUGGGGAGCAAACAGGAUUAGAGACCCCAGUAGUCCCUGUCUCUUAUACA